UACAGAGGUCUCAAGCGUUGUUCGGAAUUACUGGGCGUAAAGCGCGCGCAGGCGGUCUUCCAAGUCAGUGGUGAAAGCCCGGAGCUCAACUCCGGAACUGCCAUUGAAACUGUUAGACUUGAGGACGAGAGAGGUGAGUGGAAUUCCCAGUGUAGAGGUGAAAUUCGUAGAUAUUGGGAAGAACACCGGUGGCGAAGGCGGCUCACUGGCUCAUUACUGACGCUCAGGCGCGAUAGCGUGGGGAUCAAACAGG
rnacentral:rRNA from 1 species